UUUACUACUAUGUGACAGUUUUCCUACAGUCUUUUCCAGUUGGUUUAAAAACCAAAUAUUUGGAGAAGGAGCAGAGACACUUCUGUGGACUUGGCCUCGGAGGCUCAGCUCUGGAAUCUGUUUGAACCCCUCGCUCUCGGAACGAGCCUCUGAAAAACCUCAGAGAAGCAGUUCUCCAAAUAGCCCACAUGCAGCCAAAGAAAAGCCAAACCAAGAAAAAAAAAUCCUGAAGGGCAGCUUCCGCGGCAGAGCCGCUGCACGGAAGGCCAUGGCCAGGGUGCACCGAAAGGCCAGGGGAGGAAGUGCUGAGCGAGCGGGACGCCUGGCCCACUGGGGCAUGUGGGUCGCGGAGAAGCCAGCAGGACAGACUCGCUCUGGUGUUUACUCAGCUGUGGCCCAGCCCUGCUGCGACACCAUCUCUGCGCCAUCCACCUUGUCCCCAGCCGCCGCGCCCAGUGAGGUGGCCAUGGACGUGAACCCCGGAGCACAGUGAGGGCGAGCGGCGAAGGCUAGAACCCCAGCACGUGGCCCCCGGGAGGCAGCGGCACUCUGUCCGCGAGCCUGAGAAGAGUCCCAGAACUUCCUGGCUCUUUGGCUGACCUGACAUCAGACUGAAUAAAAACCUAAGCCCUCAAGGUUGUCUUCACGUAAAUCGCCGCAGACCUAGAGAAGAGCUGUGAUUGGGGCACCUCGCCAAGCUGACGGCUGGCCCGCUGUGUUUGAAAAGAGAGACAGAGCGAGGCCCGUAACGGAGCAGGAGAGAAACCAACACAAUCCCAAGUCACCGGGGUCUGAGUUUUUAAAGUUUCUUUCCAUGAAUUUCUUGACUAUUUUUAAAAAUGAUUGUAUGAUUUCCUAAGAUGGACA